GUCUUCAGAAGAUGACAAACCUGUGGGGCGUAAGUAAUAAAGAAUCUGAAAGAUUGCAGAUAAGAGUAUGCACUUAUUGGCAAUAUGCAUACCAGAAUAAUUUAUUAUGAUCGUGCGGACGUUAAAAUCAGGU
ncrna:unclassified sequences Hatchet ribozyme sequence